UUUAUGGAGAGUUUGAUCCUGGCUCAGGAUGAACGCUGGCGGCGUGCCUAAUACAUGCAAGUCAAGCGAACGGACGAGAAGCUUGCUUCUCUGAUGUUAGCGGCGGACGGGUGAGUAACACGUGGAUAACCUACCUAUAAGACUGGGAUAACUUCGGGAAACCGGAGCUAAUACCGGAUAAUAUUUUGAAC
rnacentral:rRNA from 1 species